AGCAGCCGCGGUAAUUCCAGCUCCAAUAGCGUAUAUUAAAGUUGUUGCAGUUAAAAAGCUCGUAGUUGAACUUCGGGGUUCACCCAUUGGUCAGGCUUAAUUGUCUGCACUGGUGAGAUGAGUCUCUACCUUCUGAGGAACUUUCAUGCCAUUUAUUUGGUGUGGUUGGAAAUCAGGACUGUUACUUUGAAAAAAUUGAGUGUUUAAAGCAGGCUAACGUCUGAAUACAUUAGCAUGGAAUAAUGAAAUAGGACGGACUGAUUCUAUUUCGUUGGUUUCUAGGAUCACCGUAAUGAUUAAUAGGGAUAGUUGGGGGCAUUAGUAUUCAAUUGUCAGAGGUGAAAUUCUUGGAUUUAUUGAAGACUAACUACUGCGAAAGCAUUUGCCAAGGAUGUUUUCAUUAAUCAAGACGAAAGUUAGGGAUCGAAGACGAUCAGAUACCGUCGUAGUCUUAACCAUAAACUAUGCCGACUAGGGAUCGGGACGUAAGGUUAAUUUUAGUAAUUGGAACGUCGUUCGG
rnacentral:rRNA from 1 species